rnacentral:misc_RNA from 1 species
CCUCACCCUUCCUUCUCCUACAAAACCAAGACGCACACCGCGCAUCUCACAUCGAUCAAUCUCCUCCCGUUUCCUUUGUUUUCAUUUCUCGAUUUCACGCUUCUCCUCGCAACACCGCACGCGUGCUUUUUCUUCUUCCUCAGUUUUGGCACGUUGAAUUGAGCAACAGCCCUUGCUUGAUCCAUCGGUCAUCCGCUGCCGCGCAGUGAUCAAGUCAUUUGCUUGUUUUAGUAUUAGCACAACGGACACGUCUCAAGUAGCGCUUGCAAAAAAAAAAAAGAGCGUGCGCAUUCGCUUGAGUGUUGUUGUCCUCACAUCUCUCUCUCUCCAACUCGGCGGCUUCCUUGACCACCUUGCGCUCUUGCUGGCUGCACUGCACGCCAGGUCUGGUCGCGGGCUUUUUUUCCCCUUCUUAUCGCUUCGAUCGGACUUGUGUGCUUUGGCGUGCUGUUUCGUAUUUUUGUGAUUUGCGUGUUUGUGUGCAACGUGGCGCUGCCGGGCCCGUGCGCGUUGUCUUGCAAGAAAUCGGUCCGCCGACUCCCUCACAUCCACAGAAGCCCGCGCAAGUGAAACUGUCUUCGCAGACAAGGGAGGGCGCAAAUCCAUUGCUGACAUCGACUACCCUCUUUUUUUUUUUCUUCCCUCUUCGUCGCAGCAUGAUGACGGAUGAUAAGCACGUGCUAUCGAUUCAGUCCCAUGUGACGCACGGGUAUGUGGGCAACAAGGCCGCUACGUUUCCGCUGCAGCUCCACGGCUUCGACGUCGAUGCCAUCAACACGGUGAGCCUGUCGAACCACAGCGGCUAUCCAGUCAUCAAGGGUCAUCGCAUGGAUCUCGAGGAGUUCACCACUAUCAUGGAGGGCCUGCGCGCCAACGACUUCUUGAGCGACUACGCCUAUGUUCUGACCGGGUACAUCAACAACAGAGACAUCGUCCGACAAGUAGCGGCGACCGUCGCCGAGAUUCGAGAGGCGCGUCAGAAGCAAGGUAAGAAGGAUGCCGUAUUCUUCUGUGACCCCGUGAUGGGCGACGACGGGAGACUGUACUGCAAGGAGGAGGUGGUGGAGGCGUACAGGGAGCUGCUCACCCAUGCGGACGUUGCAACGCCGAACUACUUCGAGGCGUCGAUCCUGAGCACUGUGGAGGUAAAGGAUCUCGCAUCGGCGAUUGAGGCCGCUAACUGGUUUCACACGCAGGGCACGCCCACCGUGGUGAUUAAGUCCUUCGCAAUGGCAGACGACCCGACACACCUUCGCUUCUUGCUCUCUUGCCGCGACAAGGCGACCGGGUCGACGAAGCGCUACACGGGGGUGGUGCCGUACCACGAGGGGCGCUACACGGGGACGGGUGACGUCUUUGCCGCCUCGCUGGUGGCGUUUGCGCACAGCGACCCCAUGGAUUUGGCAGUCGGCAAGGCCAUGGGGGUGCUGCAGGAUCUUAUCAAGGCCACAAUUGAGCGCGGCGGCUCUGGUAAAGCGACGCUGAGCUCGCGUGAGCUGCGCGUGACGAGCUACCCGGACCGGCUGCAGCAUCCGUCCUCCGUGGCCCUGGUGACACCGUUGCCGUAGGUGAAGGGGGGGGGGCUUUUGACGUAGAGAACAAGUAUCGUAGCACGCAUGCAGAGAGUUGUCUGGCCCACGGUGUAAUCGAGCGUUGCAGUAUCUAUACACCCGUCGAGACAGUGCGGCCCCCCUCUCCUCCUCUUUUGGCGGGUUUAUCUCGGCGGCGCACACACGCUGAUAAGGCGGUGAGGGACGGAGGGGGGAGAGGGGCCUGCGCAAAAUUAAAAACACGAACACCGUCCGCCCACUCACGUAUGCAUGAAUGCGAAGGGGCCGCCUCGGCGAUCGGUAUUGAAGGGUGGGGGUGGGGAGUGAGCGCAGUCGCUUGAGUGAUUCCUGUGCCUGCAUCGCUCUGCACUGAUCCGAUGCUGACACUCGACUGUGCCAGUCGCACAGGGGAGGGGCUAGUGGGUGUGGGAGAUCAGACAGCUUGGAACCUCGCCCCCGCCCCCGCUCUGUCUGGCACUUCCGUAGCCGAUUUGGAAAACGCGGAGUCAGAUGGCUCGCAUGCGAGCGUGCGCUCACCCGUGAUGGCCUUCAGGGAAGCAGGCGACCGUCCCUCUCUUUUCUCACUGCCUGAAACUUUUCAUCGCUCCUUCGCCCUCUGCUGUGUGUGUCCUUCUCUUCUGAAUUGCUUGGCACGUCUUCUCUCCAUUCAUGUUCACCGUCCCCAUGCACCGACGCUGUCGCUGCCCUUGUGCCCUCCCCCCCGGCCGUGUCGUCAUGGAUUUGCACGUGCCCUGGCGAG